rnacentral:rRNA from 1 species
AACGAACGCUGGCGGCAUGCCUAACACAUGCAAGUCGAACGAGACCUUCGGGUCUAGUGGCGCACGGGUGCGUAACGCGUGGGAACCUGCCCUUAGGUUCGGAAUAACUCGCCGAAAGGGGUGCUAAUACCGGAUAAUGUCUUCGGACCAAAGGUUUAUCGCCCUUGGAUGGGCCCGCGUUGGAUUAUCUAGUUGGUAGGGUAAAAGCGUACCAAGGCUAGGAGACAUAGCUGGUCUGAGAGGAAGAGCAGCCACACUGGGACUGAGAAACGGCCCAGACUCUUACAGGAGGCAGGAGUGGGGGAUAUAGGAAAACGGGCGGAGGGAAGAAGCAGCAAUGACGGGUGAGCGAUGAAGGCCUUAGGGUUGUAAAGCUAGUUUACCCGGGACGAUUAUGACAGUACCGGGAGAAUAAGCACCGGCUAACUCCGUG